AAUGCUAAUAGAAGAAUGUGCACAUUACUGGGGGAAAAUGCAUGGUGGAACCAUUCUAACAUGAUUUGUCAGGACACAAACUUGUCAGUUUUCCAAGCCUUGUUUCUCUCCUUUCUUCUUUGAACUCUUAAUACUCCAAAAGUUUUAAGUUAGGUAUAUAAUAAUCUGAGGUAAAACUAGAAGAUUAGGUUAGAAGUCUUAUUCUCAGAAUACCAGCAAGUCCUGCAAUAAAUAAAACUUAGAACAUUCUUUAAUUAAGACUCUUUAAUAUGUCACUAUUAUGCACACACAAAUAACUUUAGUCAUAUUCCUAAUAAUGAUUUUUGUGACAAUAUAUGGAGUGGAUAGUGCUUUCUGGGGGGUUAGCCUAGGGCACAAACAGAGCUCAAUGCUGCAUUAAUUUCUCUGAGACUGUGAGAUACAGGCGCUAGCUCUCACCAUUGUCAAUCAAGUUUUCCCACAUGUAGCAAAAUUAGUUAGCAUCCUCAUCUGUGCUUCAAUUUUAAUUAUCAUGUUUAGAAUUUCAGCAAAUGAAAGGAAGUUUCUUUGGCUAGCUGAAACCCUAACAAACUUGGACAGAGCUGACUUGUACCGAGACAAUGGAAAAAACUGGGUUGGAAGUAAAAAGUUUAUAAAGGCAUGAAAACAUUAAAUAGAACGAGACCAGAAUCUACUAAGCCUUUUUUAGAACAGCUCCCAUAAGCAAAGACUCUUCCAAUUAGUGAGUAUGGCACUUAAUAGUCACUGGUGUUGUCCAAGUCUGCAAAACAGCAGAAAACGCCAGGGAGUUUGAAGGUUGUUAGUUUUUAAAAUACCAUACACUGUAAAACUGCCUGAUAGAAUAACUCUGGAUCAUCUUACAUCUCAGAAAAAUGUCCAUUCCCUUUCCCUUUUCAAAAGAUCCAACUGUUCACAUGCACUACAAGAGACUUUCAACAUUACUCAAAACCAAUGUCUGUCAAAAAAUGCCCUCAUUAUAUUUUCUAGUUGUUUGCUGUAAUAGGAUUUAACGUGCAUCUUCAUUUUCAAGAAUUCUAAUUACUUAAAAAUAUGGUAUGGCUCUAUAUACCUAAUAAAUUUGUUAAAAAAGGGAAUUAUAUAUGGUAGAGGUGAAAAAUGUCAUAACCCCAAAAUAAUCAUGAGAAUGUUCCCAAAUUUAAGUGGUUGCUUACCCACAUCUUCCUAAGGUCUAAAUACCUAUGAGUCUCCACUUAAGUGAAGUACACUAUCUGAAAUAAGACGAGGAAAUUAAGUUGGCAGUCUAAAUUUCUAGACCGCUCCCAGACCACAAAUUCCUAUUAAAAGAUGCAAAAUCAUUUGAUCACACUUACUAUUCGUGUGGCCUUGACAAGUUGAUUAAUCUCAUCUAAAAAAUGGUGAUACUAAAGCACCUAACUUGAGAAUUGCUGUGAGGAUUAAAUGAGUUAAUACAUGAAAAGUUCUUAGAGCACUAUCUGGCACUUAGUAAAUCCUCAGUAAAUGUCCCCAGACACCACCUUCUCAAAAAAAAAAAAAAAAAAAAUUCUCCUGACAUAGAGACUCCAGAUCAUACGCUUUUUUGAUAGGGGGGAGUGCAUAAAUCCUCAUUCAGAGUUUUAGACACUUUUCCCUCCUACCAUUCUCAAAUAAGAGGAAGAAGUUUAAAGAGAUUUUAUCUAUUUCAAAAAUGUGGGUGAUGCAACUUCUGAAUCAGUUAUUACAAAACAAAUGCCUAUGGCAUUCCAAGAAUCAUGCUGGAUUCUAUGUAGGCAAAGAUAUUUAAGACAGCCCAACACAUAAAAAAAUUGAAGGCAAUGUUAAAAGAAAAAAGAACUUUUUCUGAACAAAAUGUUUCAUUUUACCACCAUCAAGGCCAAAGUAUAUUUUAGUUCAAUGUACAACUAGCUGAACAAUGUAACAACCUGGCACAAAAAGUCUCGGAUGCCGUCUUUUACACUCCCUUUCAAACUUAAGAACUACCAGUACGUCAUAUAUUAUCUCUGCCUUACUGACUCAGAAGUCCCUGAAAGGGGUGGAAUCUGCAUUACAAGUUUCCCAGGCUUACACCAGCUGUUGUAUGGAAAACAGAAUGAAAAGAGGCAAGGGAUAAAGUUUUAAGACCAGUUAGCAGGUGAAUCAAAAAUUUAAAAUCAAGAAGUAUCAAAAGCUACAUACAAAAAGGCCAACAAC